GACGAACGCUGGCGGCGUGCUUAACACAUGCAAGUCGAGCGGAAAGGCCCUUUCGGGGGUACUCGAGCGGCGAACGGGUGAGUAACACGUGAGUAAUCUGCCCCUGGCUUUGGGAUAGCCACCGGAAACGGUGAUUAAUACCGGAUACGACCACUUCUCGCAUGGGAUGGGGGUGGAAAGUUUUCCGGCCAGGGAUGUGCUCGCGGCCUAUCAGCUUGAUGGUGAGGUGAUGGCUCACCAUGGCUUCGACGGGUAGCCGGCCUGAGAGGGUGACCAGUGACACUGGGACUGAGACACGGCCCAGACUCCUACGGGAGGCAGCAGUGGGGAAUAUUGGACAAUGGGCGGAAGCCUGGUCCAGCAACGCCGCGUGAGGGAUGACGGCCUUCGGGUUGUAAACCUCUUUCAGCAGGGACGAAGCGCAAGUGACGGUACCUGCAGAAGAAGCACCGGCCAACUACGUGCCAGCAGCCGCGGUAA
rnacentral:rRNA from 1 species